rnacentral:rRNA from 1 species
GACCUCAAAUCAGGUAGGACUACCCGCUGAACUUAAGCAUAUCNAU